rnacentral:rRNA from 1 species
UACGAAGGGGGCUAGCGUUGCUCGGAAUGACUGGGCGUAAAGGGCGCGUAGGCGGUUUGUACAGUCAGGCGUGAAAUUCCCGGGCUCAACCUGGGGGCUGCACUUGAUACGUAGGAACUUGAGUGGGGAAGAGGGUCGUGGAAUUCCCAGUGUAGAGGUGAAAUUCGUAGAUAUUGGGAAGAACACCGGUGGCGAAGGCGGCGACCUGGUCCUUGACUGACGCUGAGGCGCGAAAGCGUGGGAGCAAACAGG